rnacentral:rRNA from 1 species
GAACGAUAACUCGAAGCUUGCUUCGAGGGCACAGUGGCAAACGGGUGAGUAACACGUGGGUAACCUGCCUUCGGAUGGGGGAUAGCUCUAGGAAACUAGUGGUAAUACCGCAUAAUACCGAUUGGUCAUAAGACCGCUCGGUCAAAGACGCUUUCGGGCGUCACCUGAAGAUGGGCCCGCGCACUAUUAGCUAGUUGGUAGGGUAAUGGCCUACCAAGGCAACGAUGGUUAGCCGGCCUGAGAGGGUGUACGGCCACAUUGGGACUGAGAUACGGCCCAGACUCCUACGGGAGGCAGCAGCUAAGAAUAUUCCGCAAUGGGCGCAAGCCUGACGGAGCGACGCCGCGUGGAGGAUGAAGGCUUUCGGGUUGUAAACUCCUUUUCUUAGGGAAGAAUAAAGUCGGCAGGAAAUGGUCGACCGAUGACGGUACCUAAGGAAUAAGCCCCGGCUAAUUACGUGCCAGCAGCCGCGGUAAUACGUAUGGGGCAAGCGUUGUUCGGAUUCACUGGGCGUAAAGGGCGUGUAGGCGGCGUGGUAAGUCGGAUGUGAAAUCUCCAGGCUCAACCUGGAAACUGCAUUCGAAACUGCCAUGCUUGAGUACCGGAGAGGGAAACGGAAUUCCUGGUGUAGGGGUGAAAUCUGUAGAUAUCAGGAAGAACACCGGUGGCGAAGGCGGUUUCCUGGCCGGAUACUGACGCUGAGGCGCGAAAGCUAGGGGAGCAAACAGGAUUAGAUACCCUGGUAGUCCUAGCUGUAAACGUUGUGCACUAGGUGUAAGUGGUU